AAUUAAUGGGAAACCAUUUCGUGUCUUUCGUUCUUCAGUUGCUGACGCUCGUUUAAAACGCGGUUACAAACAACAGCAGAAGUACUAGUGAUUUCAUCAGUAGCAGCAGCAACAGUAGCAAUAGUAGUAGUAGUAGCAGUAGCAACAGUAGCAAUAGUAGUAGUAUCAGUAGCAAGCAGCACAACCAACAGCAUCAUCAUCAUCAGCAGCAGCAGCAGUAGCAGCAACAACAGCAGACGCAGACUCGUCACGCGUCACGCAUUGCAAUCGGUAGGACCAACGUUACAGGACAUCGUUAGAGAACUCAUCAUGGGAGGAAAAAAAGAAGCUCACGGUGACAAGUUGCUGGUCAUUGUCGAAAAAUCCCUAAGGCCCGAAAUCGCAGAAUACCUACAGAAACAUCGAGGCACGCUUUCUCUCUACGUUCAGAGUCUCUACGGUGAUAGCAAUAAGAACAUUAAACAGCUUGAAAUGGGAGAAUUAGAGCAGUUCAUCCGCGUGAAUACAGUCGUCGGCAUAUUCACAUAUGAGGAUGGACCCGCCAUUAUUGCAUCCAUUCUUACGGAAAAGUUUCCCCACCUUUAUGGUCCAUCAUUCAUCUCAGCGUUUCUCUGCUUUAACAAGUAUUACACCCAUCAGCUAGUCGAUCCAGACCCGCUUCCUUUCAAGUUUGUUGAUCUGCGUGCAUGCGCCGAUAGGAGCGAUGCGGCAAUGUCGGAGAUUCUGAACAUCACAGGUGUUCCUGCCUUCAUCAAGCUAACGACAUCGACGGAAAGCAUGGACGUGUACCUCGCAUAUAAUGAGGAGGAACUGAGAAAUGUCAUUGAGACAUUAAGCGAGUUAACAACUGAGGCUACAGAGUUUCUGGAUCGUCUACAGGAACAUCUCAAACCGGAGCAAUUCCCACCACACUACUCACGCGGUGCCAUUGCGAUGAAGUACAUGAAGGAUGCAUCCAUCAUUAACGUACAUGGUUACGUGUGCAAGGGUCAAAUCCACCACUGGGUCAUCGGUGAUAAAAAGCAUUGGCCAAAGAAGCCGGAGUUGAUGCAUAUGAUAGCGUUCCCGAGCGAUCAUAGCCCCACUACACUCGGUAAAGCUUGGAAUAAAUACGACCAGACCGCAGAAACUCUCAUUAAAUAUGGUUACGAUGAUCAGUUUCUCGAGGUCGAGAUGUUUGUGACGGAGCAGGGUGAUGUACACUUGAUGGAGAUAAAUGGCAGAAGCGUCAUUGGCCUGCGUAGAUCAUCACAUGUCCUGAACAACGGAGACAUGAUAACAGCAGUAGUAGACAUUGCCACGGGCGUAUGCCCUAUACCACCAACCUAUAAGUGGCGGUCACGUACGUACAAACAACAUCUGAACAUCGUCUGAAUCCAUGGUGUAUAACCGUAAUGGCGCAGUGGCCUCAUCACUAGAACAUCCGUCUACACCUGCAUUCCAGGUGAACACAGUCAACAUAGUGAACAGCGGAAAACGAACUGGCAUAAUAAAAUUGUCUAUACUGGAGUCUGGGAGGCUAGGCGACCUGAUUGAUGUGGAAUUCUGCAAUUCUCUAGCUGCCAUGGACCUGUGUGACCCCGUGGACAAGGACAUGUAUGUAGAUUGCUUGCGUUAUACCCGUGGGGGAUAUAUUGUCAAUAGCAUACGUGUGGAUGGCGACACAACUGAAGACAUAUUAGCCAAAGCGAAACAUAUUUUAAGUAACGUUUAUAAAGAUCCUGAAUAUUUAAAAAAAUUUGAGAGAUGAAACAGAUAAAAGUAUUUCAGACUUUUUACACGUGGGCGAGUUACAAGCACCUAUAUACUGAAGACCCACGAGGUGAAUUGUACAUUGUACUCGUUAAAUAAAUAAGGAAAUAAAUAAAUAAAUGAAAGUUACAUGUAUAUAUAUCAAGAGC
rnacentral:misc_RNA from 1 species